AGGCUAUGUUGGCCGGGCGACGGUUGUCCCGGUUUAAGCGUGUAGGCUGGUUUUCCAGGCAAAUCCGGAAAAUCAAGGCUGAGGCGUGAUGACGAGCACUACGGUGCUGAGGCAAAUGCCCUGCUUCCAGGAAAAGCCUCUAAGCAUCAGGUAACAUCAAAUCGUACCCCAAACCGACACAGGUGGUCAGGUAGAGAAUACCAAGGCGCUUGAGAGAACUCGGGUGAAGGAACUAGGCAAAAUGGUGCCGUAACUUCGGGAGAAGGCACGCUGAUAUGUAGGUGAAGCGACUUGCUCGUGGAGCUGAAAUCAGUCGAAGAUACCAGCUGGCUGCAACUGUUUAUUAAAAACACAGCACUGUGCAAAACACGAAAGUGGACGUAUACGGUGUGACGCCUGCCCGGUGCCGGAAGGUUGUGAUGGGGUUAGCGCAAGCGAAGCUCUUGAUCGAAGCCCCGGUAAACGGCGGCCGUAACGAUAACGGUCCUAAGGUAGCGAAAUUCCUUGUCGGGUAAGUUCCGACCUGCACGAAUGGCGUAAUGAUGGCCAGGCUGUCUCCACCGAGACUCAGUGAAAUUGAACUCGCUGUGAAGAUGCAGUGUACCCGCGGCAAGACGGAAAGACCCCGUGAACCUUACUAUAGCUUGACACUGAACAUUGAGCCUUGAUGUGUAGGAUGAGGUGGAGGCUUAGAAGUGUGGACGCCAGUCUGCAUGGAGCCGACCUUGAAAAUACCCUUUAAUGUUUGAUGUUCUAACGUUGACCCGUAAUCCGGGUUGCGGACAGUGUCUGGUGGGUAGUUUGACUGGGCGGUCUCCUCCUAAAGAGUAACGGAGGAGCACGAAGGUUGGCUAAUCCUGGUCGGACAUCAAGUUAGUAAUGGCAGAAGCCAGCUUGACUGCGAGCGUGACGGCGCGAGCAGGUGNGCAGGCAGGGCCAUAGUGAUCCGGUGGUUCUGAAUGGAAGGCCAUCGCUCAACGGAUAAAAGGUACUCCGGGGAUAACAGGCUGAUACCGCCCAAGAGUUCAUAUCGACGGCGGUGUUUGGCACCUCGAUGUCGGCUCAUCACAUCCUGGGGCUGAAGUAGGUCCCAAGGGUAUGGCUGUUCGCCAUUUAAAGUGGUACGCGAGCUGGGUUUAGAAUCGUCAGACAGUUCGGUCCUAUCUGCCGUGGGCGCUGGAGAACUGAGGGGGCUGCUCCUAGUACGAGAGGACCGGAGUGGACGCAUCACUGGUGUUCGGGUUGUCAUGCAAUGGCACUGCCCGGUAGCUAAAUGCGGAAGAGAUAAGUGCUGAAAGCAUCUAAGCACGAAACUUGCCCCGAGAUGAGUUCUCCCUGACCCUUUAAGGGUCCUGAAGAACGUUGAAGACGACGACGUUGAUAGGCCGGGUGUGUAAGCGCAGCGAUGCGUGAGCCNCCGGUA
rnacentral:rRNA from 1 species